rnacentral:tRNA from 5 species
GCCCACGUAGCUCAGUGGAUAGAGCGUCUGCCUCCGGAGCAGAAGGUCGUAGGUCCGAUUCCUACCGUGGGCGCCA